UACGGGGGGGGCAAGCGUUGUUCGGAAUUACUGGGCGUAAAGGGCGCGUAGGCGGCCCGCUAAGUCGAACGUGAAAUCCCCGAGCUCAACUCGGGAACUGCGUCCGAUACUGGUGGGCUUGAAUCCGGGAGAGGGAUGCGGAAUUCCAGGUGUAGCGGUGAAAUGCGUAGAUAUCUGGAGGAACACCGGUGGCGAAAGCGGCUCACUGGACCCAAUCUGACACUGAGGUGCGAAAGCUAGGGUAGCAAACGGG
rnacentral:rRNA from 1 species